GCUCGCGGGCCGCCGUCCAACGGUCCAGCGUCGGUUGCGGCUGCAGCACUGCAACGCAUAGCGCGAGCGCGGGUGGCGGUUCCCAAACGGCCGGCGCGGCUCCCGUGCUGCGACCAGAGUGGUUCCCAGCCCAGAGUUCCAGGUUCUUGUCAAGAAGAAAGAGUUGGAGGAGAAGCAUGCUAGAUGGAGCAAGAGGAUUUCUUGAAGUGAGAAACAUGCCUUAGAAAGAGGCAGCAGGCUCCCCGAAGGACCUAGAGACCUAGAGACGUAGAGACCAUGUGGGAUCCAAGAAGGUCUCUGUUCAUUUGGGAUGUUGAUGCCAUGAACUUUCUUCUUAGAACCACCUUCAAGAAGAUUCUGUGAAGUUCUUAUUUGUUGCUAAGAAUUUUUUGAAUUCUCCAUUGAUUUUCUUCUAUGAUUCAUUAAUA